CGCAGUCAUGACUGUGCUGGGAGAUUUCAGGCUCUUCUGCUUUUCAAUAUCCAGCUGGAACUUCAUACAAAGAGGCAGAUUUUCAUGAGGUAAUUAAAAUCUUGCUGGAAAUGAGAUUUUUCACAGACUUCAUCAAUUUAAAAGCAGAGGCAUUCAAACAUACUGCAUGUUUUUGACUCCUGGACAACAUACAGACUUUUCUUCUACCAGCUCUCAUCAUUACCCAUGCAGAAGUCCCCUACAAUUUUCAUUAAAUUAGAUUAAGCCUACAAUCUUUAUGCUCUGAUCAAAGUGCAUGCAGAUGUUGAGAUUGCAGGAGGCGUGGACUGCAAAAAAUGGUAUGGGGGGAAAGGGAGAAAUAGUAACAGCAUUACCAAGUAAACCAGGUUGCUUACUACCUGGUAAUAACCAAACCUAAUGACACAAUGAGGUUAUAUGCUCUCAAGGCACUAUCAUUUCUAUUUGAUUUAACUUCCUUUGUGAUUAACCUCACAAAAGAGAAUACCUUAGGUGUCCUAAAAAACAUUUCUCACCAUUUUAUGCUUUUGGAAAGAAUGACCCAAAGAAAUAUUGCUCUUUUAAGGUCAUAUUCUUCUGAACAAUAUCAUCAAAAACACAUUACUCCUUGACCUCUACAGCCUACAGACCUUUACAUGUCCCUAUCUAGGAGGGUCUCAUUAUACUUUUCGGUACCUGUGGACAAGAGGACAAAAUUUUUCCAGACGCACCACUACAAUUCAUUAACCUUUAUUUCUUAUUUUAUACGUUUAAGCCCAAAAGAUGCCUGUGACACAGCAUGGAAGUAUUUACCAUGCACAGAAGAAUUAGGUGCUCCAGACCUGUUCCAGCUAAACUAUGUCGAGUAAAUGAGCUCAUCUGGGGGUCUUCACACAGCAGUGCUUGGGCACUCCCAGUGACCACCCCCUUCGCUAGUUCAAUUAGACCAAGAAUAAUUUGAAAUGAGACUUGUGUUGCAGGUGCUUGUAAAAUGCUGGCUGCUCCAAGGUUCAUAACCGUUAGGCAUCCCUGAAGCAUUACCGUGCCUACAUUGGCUGAAAUAGCCUUUGCAAAUAGUCUCCCUGAAGUCUUCUUGUGCACCUUUGCGACAUUGCAUUUUUAUCCAUAAGUGUCUUAGUACAUAUAUUCAUCGUGCUCCAAAAAUUACCAUGCUAAUUUUUUAAUAAAAGUUCCUUUUUUUUCUACUCCCA
rnacentral:lncRNA from 1 species